rnacentral:rRNA from 1 species
AUUGAACGCUGGCGGCAGGCCUAACACAUGCAAGUCGAGCGGAUGAAGGGAGCUUGCUCCUGGAUUCAGCGGCGGACGGGUGAGUAAUGCCUAGGAAUCUGCCUGGUAGUGGGGGAUAACGUCCGGAAACGGGCGCUAGUACCGCAUCCGUCCUGAGGGAGAAAGUGGGGGAUCUUCGGACCUCACGCUAUCAGAUGAGCCUAGGUCGAUUUGGUUAUUGGGUGGGUUAAGGCCUACCAAGGCGACGAUCCGUAACUGGUCUGAGAGGAUGAUCAGUCACACUGGAACUGAGACACGGUCCAGACUCCUACGGGAGGCAGCAGUGGGGAAUAUUGGACAAUGGGCGAAAGCCUGAUCCAGCCAUGCCGCGUGUGUGAAGAAGGUCUUCGGAUUGUAAAGCACUUUAAGUUGGGAGGAAGGGCAGUAAGUUAAUACCUUGCUGUUUUGACGUUACCAACAGAAUAAGCACCGGCUAACUUCGUG